rnacentral:tRNA from 1 species
GCGGGUGUAGCUCAGUGGUAGAGCGCAACCUUGCCAAGGUUGAAGUCGCGAGUUCGACUCUCGUCACCCGCUCCA